GAACGCUCGGCGGCGAUCCGCGUCGGUCUCGCUGGGUGGUAUGGUUCCCCAGAGGCCGGUUCUUGUGCUGCGUACCCCUUCAGGGGAAGCGGGCCGCUCGAUGCAAGCCUCCAUCCCGCGCCCUCCAACGGGCGCAGGAGGACAACGGAGCACCCCCCGCGUUCCACCGAGCCUCCUCGGUCGCGUGGCGCGCGGGGGCGUGCGAUGCUCUCGGACCCAGCGAACGCCGUGGGCGAGGACUCACGUCCCAGUCCCGAUAGAAGCUCCCACAUAACGCUGACGGCCGCUCCCGACCCCCGACCGCCCCGGCGGCGCGGGGCGAGGCGCGGCGUCGCGGAGGAAUGCUACCU
rnacentral:misc_RNA from 1 species